UGAGAACCGAAGUAGCUUCUAGGCCAGGUACCCAAAAGUUGCAGAGCCUGUCUAUGGUUAAUGCUCAACGCUAUCCCCUCUUUCCUACAACAGAGUCUGGGAUAAAACUUCCAAAGCCCACUGAUAGAUUUCCCUCCAAUUUAGGGUGGCUGAUAUAUAUAUAUGCUACCUUCUUCCCAACAUGCCCCUACUCCCACCAAAAGAGUAACCUAAUACUUGCUCUCCUCCUAACAGCUGGUGACAUCACAGGCCCCUCCAGUCCCUAGCCACGACCUCACUCAACCUCACCCCAGCUCCUACAAGGCCCACCCCAGCUCCUAUAAGAAGCACUCCCUGUCCUCGCCAUAUUGCUUUUGUCUCUCCUUUGUUCAGAGACAGCCCAACAGAUCAUCCCUGCAAUAAAGGCUUGUUGUGGCCUGGUCUGGUCUUGGUUUUCGGCUUCCUUUUUACCUGACAUCCACCUGUUGCUGCUGUUAGAGAAUUCUGGGCAAGAUGGUCUGCAAGUAGCCUAAAUGGCUCACUUCUUAUUUGUUACUAGAAACUCAAAUGGUAAAGAGCAUUUCAAUCUGUUUUUACUGCAUAAAAAAAUAGUGCUUUUUUCAAUGUCCUUAUAAUGGCUCUUGGAUGAAGUUGUGACCCUCUGUUGGUGAUUAAGCAUGCUGUGCUUCUCUUUAUGUAAAUGCCAUUGGAAUUCCCCUUCUCCCUACCACCAUCAGGGUAUGGAAUGCGGAGGGGCAAGAGUAAUGGUUCUCAAACAUGUUUUAAAUGGAUAACUGUCAAAAAGUUUUAGUUAUGUAUCACAUAUGUAUACAUAUAUAUAUACAUAUAAUGUGUGUGUAUAUAUAUGCAUUUUAUGCAGAUAAAUAUAGAUGUCACUCUCAUUUUAGACAUUAGUAAUUGUGAUGGUUUGUGUUUAGAUGUCCCCCUGAAGCCUCAUGUGGUCUUAGGUGGGGCUUUUUCAGAGUUGGCUGAAUCCAGAGUGUGUGAUUGAUUCUUGGUGAUUCUUACUAGGCCCAAGGGCACUAGGAUUAAGGGUUUGAGUGCUACCCACCCUAAGUAGUUUGAAUAAGUUAAAAGGGGCAGGAGAAGCUGUUAAGGUCCUUUAUUGUUUUUGCUGUCUUCUACCAGCAUGAACUGUUGCCCCUUGUUGCUUUUGUUGCCUUGUGGGCACCAUGAACAGUUUCUCCUCUAUGAUGCCUCUCUGCGGUGUACCACUCUGCCUUGGAGCCAGACAAUUAUGGACUGAAACCUCUAUAAACUAUGAGAUAAAUAAACCCUCUCCCCUUUAACUUUCAGUGUUGAGUAUUUUGUCUUAGCAACAAGAGGAAAGUAACUAACACAGUAAUGGUCAAUUUUUCUCUUAUUGUUUUCAGUUAAUUAAGCCAGAUACAGUGCCACAAUCCUGUAAUCCCAGCGACUUGGGAGUCUGAGGUUCAGUUUCUAGCACUGAAAAAAACCCAGACUGACCUGUCUUAUAAGGCUUCCAGAAGAUUCAUCCCUGUAGAAGCACAGUUGUGCAGAUGGACACUGGGACUGGAACCAAACUCAGAGUUCAAGCUGUUAUAGGGCCAGGUGAGUCAGAACUAUAGAGAUGUGCCACACUCUGAAUUGAAUGGAGUCCUUUAUUAUAAGCUAGCUGAUUGAGAAUGUCU
rnacentral:lncRNA from 1 species